GGUUAAGCGACUAAGCGUACACGGUGGAUGCCCUGGCAGUCAGAGGCGAUGAAGGACGUGCUAAUCUGCGAUAAGCGUCGGUAAGGUGAUAUGAACCGUUAUAACCGGCGAUUUCCGAAUGGGGAAACCCAGUGUGAUUCGUCACACUAUCAUUAACUGAAUCCAUAGGUUAAUGAGGCGAACCGGGGGAACUGAAACAUCUAAGUACCCCGAGGAAAAGAAAUCAACCGAGAUUCCCCCAGUAGCGGCGAGCGAACGGGGAGCAGCCCAGAGCCUGAAUCAGUGUGUGUGUUAGUGGAAGCGUCUGGAAAGGCGCGCGAUACAGGGUGACAGCCCCGUACACAAAAAUGCACAUGCUGUGAGCUCGAUGAGUAGGGCGGGACACGUGGUAUCCUGUCUGAAUAUGGGGGGACCAUCCUCCAAGGCUAAAUACUCCUGACUGACCGAUAGUGAACCAGUACCGUGAGGGAAAGGCGAAAAGAACCCCGGCGAGGGGAGUGAAAAAGAACCUGAAACCGUGUACGUACAAGCAGUGGGAGCACGCUUAGGCGUGUGACUGCGUACCUUUUGUAUAAUGGGUCAGCGACUUAUAUUCUGUAGCAAGGUUAACCGAAUAGGGGAGCCGAAGGGAAACCGAGUCUUAACUGGGCGUUAAGUUGCAGGGUAUAGACCCGAAACCCGGUGAUCUAGCCAUGGGCAGGUUGAAGGUUGGGUAACACUAACUGGAGGACCGAACCGACUAAUGUUGAAAAAUUAGCGGAUGACUUGUGGCUGGGGGUGAAAGGCCAAUCAAACCGGGAGAUAGCUGGUUCUCCCCGAAAGCUAUUUAGGUAGCGCCUCGUGAAUUCAUCUCCGGGGGUAGAGCACUGUUUCGGCAAGGGGGUCAUCCCGACUUACCAACCCGAUGCAAACUGCGAAUACCGGAGAAUGUUAUCACGGGAGACACACGGCGGGUGCUAACGUCCGUCGUGAAGAGGGAAACAACCCAGACCGCCAGCUAAGGUCCCAAAGUCAUGGUUAAGUGGGAAACGAUGUGGGAAGGCCCAGACAGCCAGGAUGUUGGCUUAGAAGCAGCCAUCAUUUAAAGAAAGCGUAAUAGCUCACUGGUCGAGUCGGCCUGCGCGGAAGAUGUAACGGGGCUAAACCAUGCACCGAAGCUGCGGCAGCGACGCUUAUGCGUUGUUGGGUAGGGGAGCGUUCUGUAAGCCUGCGAAGGUGUGCUGUGAGGCAUGCUGGAGGUAUCAGAAGUGCGAAUGCUGACAUAAGUAACGAUAAAGCGGGUGAAAAGCCCGCUCGCCGGAAGACCAAGGGUUCCUGUCCAACGUUAAUCGGGGCAGGGUGAGUCGACCCCUAAGGCGAGGCCGAAAGGCGUAGUCGAUGGGAAACAGGUUAAUAUUCCUGUACUUGGUGUUACUGCGAAGGGGGGACGGAGAAGGCUAUGUUGGCCGGGCGACGGUUGUCCCGGUUUAAGCGUGUAGGCUGGUUUUCCAGGCAAAUCCGGAAAAUCAAGGCUGAGGCGUGAUGACGAGGCACUACGGUGCUGAAGCAACAAAUGCCCUGCUUCCAGGAAAAGCCUCUAAGCAUCAGGUAACAUCAAAUCGUACCCCAAACCGACACAGGUGGUCAGGUAGAGAAUACCAAGGCGCUUGAGAGAACUCGGGUGAAGGAACUAGGCAAAAUGGUGCCGUAACUUCGGGAGAAGGCACGCUGAUAUGUAGGUGAAGUCCCUCGCGGAUGGAGCUGAAAUCAGUCGAAGAUACCAGCUGGCUGCAACUGUUUAUUAAAAACACAGCACUGUGCAAACACGAAAGUGGACGUAUACGGUGUGACGCCUGCCCGGUGCCGGAAGGUUAAUUGAUGGGGUCAGCGCAAGCGAAGCUCUUGAUCGAAGCCCCGGUAAACGGCGGCCGUAACUAUAACGGUCCUAAGGUAGCGAAAUUCCUUGUCGGGUAAGUUCCGACCUGCACGAAUGGCGUAAUGAUGGCCAGGCUGUCUCCACCCGAGACUCAGUGAAAUUGAACUCGCUGUGAAGAUGCAGUGUACCCGCGGCAAGACGGAAAGACCCCGUGAACCUUUACUAUAGCUUGACACUGAACAUUGAGCCUUGAUGUGUAGGAUAGGUGGGAGGCUUUGAAGUGUGGACGCCAGUCUGCAUGGAGCCGACCUUGAAAUACCACCCUUUAAUGUUUGAUGUUCUAACGUGGACCCGUAAUCCGGGUUGCGGACAGUGUCUGGUGGGUAGUUUGACUGGGGCGGUCUCCUCCUAAAGAGUAACGGAGGAGCACGAAGGUUGGCUAAUCCUGGUCGGACAUCAGGAGGUUAGUGCAAUGGCAUAAGCCAGCUUGACUGCGAGCGUGACGGCGCGAGCAGGUGCGAAAGCAGGUCAUAGUGAUCCGGUGGUUCUGAAUGGAAGGGCCAUCGCUCAACGGAUAAAAGGUACUCCGGGGAUAACAGGCUGAUACCGCCCAAGAGUUCAUAUCGACGGCGGUGUUUGGCACCUCGAUGUCGGCUCAUCACAUCCUGGGGCUGAAGUAGGUCCCAAGGGUAUGGCUGUUCGCCAUUUAAAGUGGUACGCGAGCUGGGUUUAGAACGUCGUGAGACAGUUCGGUCCCUAUCUGCCGUGGGCGCUGGAGAACUGAGGGGGGCUGCUCCUAGUACGAGAGGACCGGAGUGGACGCAUCACUGGUGUUCGGGUUGUCAUGCCAAUGGCACUGCCCGGUAGCUAAAUGCGGAAGAGAUAAGUGCUGAAAGCAUCUAAGCACGAAACUUGCCCCGAGAUGAGUUCUCCCUGACCCUUUAAGGGUCCUGAAGGAACGUUGAAGACGACGACGUUGAUAGGCCGGGUGUGUAAGCGCAGCGAUGCGUUGAGCUAACCGGUACUAAUGAACCGUGAGGCUUAACCUU
rnacentral:rRNA from 1 species